rnacentral:piRNA from 1 species
UCCUUGAACUGCUGGUAGCGAGACAG